UACGGAGGGUGCAAGCGUUAUCCGGAUUCACUGGGUUUAAAGGGUGCGUAGGCGGUUUGAUAAGUCAGUUGUGAAAUUCCCCGGCUUAACCGGGUGGACUGCGAUUGAUACUGUUGAACUUGAAUCAGGUUGAGGUCGGCGGAAUGUGACAUGUAGCGGUGAAAUGCUUAGAUAUGUCAUAGAACACCGAUUGCGAAGGCAGCUGGCUAGACCUAGAUUGACGCUGAGGCACGAAAGCGUGGGGAGCAAACAGG
rnacentral:rRNA from 1 species